rnacentral:lncRNA from 1 species
AGAGAGGCAGAGACAUAGGCAGAGGGAGAAGCAGGCUUCCUGUGGGGAGCCCAAUGUGGGACUCGAUCCCAGGACCCCGGGGAUCACGCCCUGAACUGAAUCAACCACUGAGCCAACCAGCCAGAAGGUGCCCUUCUAUUAGCUUUUUGAAGACAUAUUCUCUCUCUUCUUCUCUAAGAGACUGUUCCUUUUCCUCUCACUCUGUCCAUGCAAGUGCUUCUCAGGAUUCUGCCCUUGGCUCAUUCACCCAUUCAGUUCUUCCUCCCUUCCAUGAGCAUUUCAGCCUUGUUCUGGGCCAGGUGUUAGGCUGGGCUUUGGCUAUUUACUUCUCAACUCCAUCUCAAUAAGCGUCACUUCUCCAAGGACAACCCAAGUGUACCUCCCACUCUGGCCUUUCUUAAUGGUCAAUCUUGUGUUCUUAACUCCAGUUGUGCACCUGACCCUGGAAGAUGAAGCUCUGACACUACAAAUGGAACCUAGCAUCUUCUCCCAAAGCCUGCUAGCUUCUGACUCUUGACUCUCUGACUUCUAUUACCUGCCUCAGCAUCUUCUUGGCCAUUGGAGCUGAAAAUCAGGAGCUGUCUCUGACAGCUUGUCAUCACAUCUAGUCACUGGCUGUGUCUGGUGAAUCCUGCCAGCAUGAUGUUCCUCUAGCACAUCUGCCCCUGCCUCUCUACUUAACCUCAUCAUAACCACCACAAUCAAGCCUUCCAGAGUCUCCCGACUUCCCCACUUCAUCCAGGCUCUCUAGUCCACUACAGUCCAAAAAGUCCCCUACAAAGUAGCUGGGUUAAUCUGCCCUAAAAAGCUUUUAUCUUGUCAUUUCUCUGCCCAAUAGCAUUUUUGAUUGCUCAAUCAGUUCUCCUAUGUCUAUAUCCCAUUACUUGCCAUUCAAGGUGCCCAUACUGUGUCUUCUCUCAUUGUUCUGGCCACAUGGUUUCCAAACAUGCCUUAUGCCUUCCCAACAUUGCUUACUCUGGCCCUCUUGGCUAUUUCUAAAUGUACUCACCCCUAAAAAAACAGGAUCAAGAUCAACUGCAUCUUCCCUCCAACAAAGCAUGUCUUGCCUUCAACUACAAUGAUUCCUGUGGCCUCACUGCUCUAAGUAGACUAUAAUUUUGGACUUACAGAAAAUUUUUCUCAUUCCUCAUUGUACUACUAGCACCUAAUACAGGGGAGUAUUCAUACAGGGGGUGCUUAUCAAAUGAAUGAAUUUGUAAUUCCUGUUUCCUAGGGAAUGCAAGGGAAUUCAUGAGAUUGGGUGUGGGCUCCAAGCUUUUCAGAAGGAAGGUAUGAAGAGUGGUCACAGUUGUACAGAAAUGUCUGCCAAGCAGAGAAGCCACACUUCCAUCUGAGUACUAAGGAAAUGGUACCCACAGGAGGCUACUUGUAAGUUUUUCUCAAAAUGUUUUCAACUACAGAAUUGCUUCUCCUCCUUGUCAAAAGAUUGGGUACCAUAUCUUCUCGAGGAUACCCCCAAUGCUCAGCCUCCUUCCUCUGGGUGGGCAUGGUACCUCAUAAGCCUCUCCUAGGUCACUGUCAGUGAGAAGAGUUGUCUCCAUAUUCUAGUCAAUUCUGACUCUACCUUGGGGACAAAGGAAGAGAAUCACUAACUGAAACACUCACUGCUCAUUUGUUGAAUACUUUCAACAAACAGAAUUCUUAACCCUAGAUAUCCCAUUAGUGUCAGAGAGGGCUUCUGUGCUGAUAUUUUAAGAUGCUUAAGAUUUUAAGAUGCUGAAUUGUUUAUGGAACAAACCAGGAAUAGAGUGCUUGCCCAUAGCACUUUUCUCUUUUCCUAAAUCUCUCCUACUCCUUGUCAGGACUGGCUUUCCCCUCCCCCCCCCCCCCCCCCCCCCCCCACCCCAAACCUAAACCCAAAGCAUGACUGGCCUGUUUUUACAAAAUUUGCUGUUUCAUGCUUUCCCUGGGGGAAGGGAGGUGAGUGACUUAAAAACAAAAAAACAAAAAAACGUUUUUUCCUCCCAGUUUGCUGGCAUAAACCAAAGGACUUGGCUAAGCAGCGAAGAAGUGAUCACGUGUGCAUAGCACUGAAAGCAAGAUGUUUCUUAUUCUUUAGGAAGCUCUCUGCAGAGAGUUUAUGUUUUAUCUGUUUUAGCCACGUGUAUGGUAUGUUUGGAAAAGGAUUCAACAAGAGAACAAAAGUCCUCCAGAUCUCAAAGACAGAAAAGUAGCAGAGUUCAGUUCAAACUUUUAGACAGGUUCUCUUUGGUUUGUGUUUCUUCUCCUGGCAGGAAGCCUGCUUUCCAUCUCUAGAUCACACUUGUGCUUCUGAUGAUAAAGUGCAUGCCUCACUGGCUCCAGGAUACUCUCUGUCUGCUGCUGGCCCUGCUCAAGGCCCCACUUGCCAAAAAUGACUGGGGCAAGUCAUCAGGGGCCUACAAAGACCAUAUGGGCUACCAAGUAGGGGUUCAUGGAGGGGGCAGCCCAUAGGCGGGUCCUGAGGGAAAAGGUAGUCUGGACUAAAGCAACAGGUAGGCAUGGGCUUCUAUCUGCAGUGACAAGAGGUUUGCAGAGAAUUCUGGGCUACCAGACACCACCCAAAGAACCAUUUUAUCUGGCCUUGUCCCACAGGGUGCCAGACUGGUGGCCAGCAAGGACAAGAGGUUACAAAUCCAACCAGAACAAAAAGCUAAGGGCACAAGAGCUUUGGGUCAGAUAGACCUGAGUUUGAAUGCUGGCCUAAUCAUUCAAUCUCACUAGCUGAUAACUUAAGAUUCACCAUCUAACCUCGCUGAACCUCAGGUUCCUCAUAUGUAAAAUGAGGAAAAUGAUACUUUACAAAGCCAUGGUGAAGAUAGUACCAAGUCCCUAGGAUAAGAUCAGUCACACAGAGGGAGCCAAUUUGCUGAUAGUCUAGAGAAAAAAAAAAAAAAAAAAAAAAAAAAAAAAAAUAUAUAUAUAUAUAUAUAUAUAUAUAUAUAUAUAUAAUCACAAAUACUCAAAGAGUUUAUUAUAAUCUAGCUGGAAAUACAAAUUACAUGAACAUUAGCAAGCAAACAGGAUAUGACCGAGUGCUAGGUUGCAGGGCCCAACAUUGAAUGCAGCAGUUCAGAGAUAAGAUCUCUGGGGGUUACAGUCAUCCAGAAAGUCAGUCUGCCCAAGGUGGGAUGAGAGUAGGUUCUUGAACACAGGGUAUGAGGGCAAAAGGUAGAGAGCAGACCCUUCCCCUCUUCCCAGGCCAUAAGGGAAAUGCUGGGGUCAAGUUUAAAGAGUGAGCCCAAAAGGCCAAGAACAACGGAGUUAUUUUGAAGAAGCACAAAGUAGGGGGAGACAAGGUGUGUAGGCCUUUACCACAUGCUGGGAAUAUAGUGAUGAGCCAUGAAUCUAGUGGGUAAAGCAAGCCAUGAAAUAGGUGCUAUGAUAGUUCUCAUACCUUGCUGGCGAAACGUAGAUGGCUAUAACCAAUAUGGAGGGAAAUUUGGUAAUAUCUACAAAAACUUUAAAUGCACAUACCAUUUGACCAAGCACUUUUCACUUACAGGAACUAAUAAUGGUCACUGAUAUUUUAAUAGCAAAAGAUUGGAAAUAGCUAUCAAAUAGAACAAGGGCAGCCCCGGUGGCGCAGCAGUUUAGCACCGCCUGCAGCCCGGGGUGUGAUCCUGGAGACCUGGGAUUGAGUCCCAUGUCAGGCUCCCUGCAUGGAGCCUACUUCUCCCUCUGCCUGUGUCUCUGUCUCUGUCUCUGUCUCUCUGAAUAAAUAAAUAAAUAAUCUUAAAAAAAAUAGAACAAAACCCCAAUUGUCCCAAUUAACAUUCAUGGAACACUCCACUUGGAACACUCUAACAAUAAUAGAACAUACUUGUUUCAAGCACAUACAGAAUAUUUACCAAGCUAGAUCAUAUUCUGGGUCAUAAUACAAAUCUUCAUAAAUUUUUAAAAGAUUCACAUCAUACAGAGGUUUAAAUCAUACAAUUAAAAAAUUAAAUUAGAAACCAAUAACAGAAAGUUAUAUGGAAAAUCCUCAAACACUUAUAAAUUAAACAAUACACUUCUAAAUAGCCCAUGAAUCAAAGAAGAAAUCACAAGGAAAAUUAAAAAAUAUUUGGAAUUAAAUGAAAAUGAAAAUAUAACAUCAAAAUUUGUGGGAUAUGGCUUAAGCAGUACUUAGAGAAAAAAUUAUGGAAUUAAAUCCUUAUGUGAGAAGAGAAGAAAGGUCUCAUCCAUGAUCUAAGCUCCCACCUUAAGAAACUAGAAAAAUAGCAGGGUAAGCCCAGAAAAAAGGAAAUAAUAAAGAUUGUGUUCAUAAACUGGUCAGCCUCAUGCUGAAGAAUGAAACCGGACUACUUUCUUACACCAUACACAAAAAUAAACUCAAAGUAGAUUGAACAUCUAAACGUGAGACCUGAAACCAUAAAAAUCCUAGAAGAGACCAUAAGCAGCG